AUACCUUUCUCGGCCUUUUGGCUAAGAUCAAGUGUAGUAUCUGUUCUUAUCAGUUUAAUAUCUGAUACGUGGGGCAUCGCCUCACACGAUAUUAAAUUAAUUUUUACUUCUAGGGGGAGUCCACUACAACAGCUUGCUGUUGGGACUCUCAAGCGUCGCCCUUGUGUUGCACUACUGCAAAGGCCUGGCGCACCCCUA